UUGGAGGGCAAGUCUGGUGCCAGCAGCCACGGUAAUUCCAGCUCCAAUAGCGUAUAUUUAAGUUGUUGCAGUUAAAAAGCUCGUAGUUGAAACUUGGGUCUGGCUAGCGGGUCCGCCUCACCGCGUGCACUUGUCCGGCUGGACCUUUCCUUCUGGAGAACCUCAUGCCCUUCACUGGGUGUGUUGGGGAACCAGGACUUUUACUUUGAAAAAAUUAGAGUGUUCAAAGCAGGCCUUUGCUCGAAUACGUUAGCAUGGAAUAAUAGAAUAGGACGUGCGGUCCUAUUUUGUUGGUUUCUAGGAUCGCCGUAAUGAUUAAUAGGGAUAGUCGGGGGCAUCAGUAUUCAAUUGUCAGAGGUGAAAUUCUUGGAUUUAUUGAAGACUAACUACUGCGAAAGCAUUUGCCAAGGAUGUUUUCAUUAAUCAGUGAACGAAAGUUGGGGGCUCGAAGACGAUCAGAUACCGUCCUAGUCUCAACCAUAAACGAUGCCGACCAGGGAUCGGCGGAUGUUGCUUUUAGGACAUCGCCGGCACCUUAUAGGAAACCAAAGUGUUUGGGUUC
rnacentral:rRNA from 1 species